rnacentral:rRNA from 1 species
CCCUGCCAUUUGUACACACCGCCCGUCGCUACUACCGAUUGAAUGGCUUAGUGAGGUCUCCGGAUUGGCUUUGGGGAGCCGGCAACGGCACUCUAUUGCUGAGAAGCUGAUCAAACUUGGUCAUUUAG